rnacentral:rRNA from 1 species
GGUUAAGUGACUAAGCGUACACGGUGGAUGCCUUGGCAGUCAGAGGCGAUGAAAGACGUAGUAACUUGCGAUAAGCCCAGAUUAGGUAGUAACAACCAUUUGAGUCUGGGAUUUCUGAAUGGGGAAACCCACGUGCAUAAGCACGUAUCCUUACCUGAAUACAUAGGGUAAGGAGGCGAACCGGGGGAACUGAAACAUCUAAGUACCCCGAGGAAAAGAAAUCAACCGAGAUUCCGAAAGUAGCGGCGAGCGAAAUUGGACUAGCCCUUAAGCUUUACACGCGUUAGACGAACGGUCUGGAAAGUCCGACGAUACAGGGUGAUAGUCCCGUAGUUGACGACGUGUGUUCAGUGAAAUCGAGUAGGGCGGGACACGUGAUAUCCUGUCUGAAUAUGGGGGGACCAUCCUCCAAGGCUAAAUACUACUGACUGACCGAUAGUGAACCAGUACCGUGAGGGAAAGGCGAAAAGAACCCCUGUGAGGGGAGUGAAAUAGAACCUGAAACCGUGUACGUACAAGCAGUAGGAGCAGGCUUUGUCCUGUGACUGCGUACCUUUUGUAUAAUGGGUCAGCGACUUAUAUUCAGUGGCAAGGUUAACCAUCUAGGGGAGCCGUAGGGAAACCGAGUCUUAACUGGGCGUUCAGUCUCUGGAUAUAGACCCGAAACCAGGUGAUCUAGCCAUGGGCAGGUUGAAGGUUGAGUAACAUCAACUGGAGGACCGAACCGACUAAUGUUGAAAAAUUAGCGGAUGACUUGUGGCUAGGGGUGAAAGGCCAAUCAAACCUGGAGAUAGCUGGUUCUCCCCGAAAGCUAUUUAGGUAGCGCCUCGGACGAAUACUACUGGGGGUAGAGCACUGUUAAGGCUAGGGGGUCAUCCCGACUUACCAACCCUUUGCAAACUCCGAAUACCAGUAAGUACUAUCCGGGAGACACACGGCGGGUGCUAACGUCCGUCGUGGAGAGGGAAACAACCCAGACCGCCAGCUAAGGUCCCAAAUUACUACUAAGUGGGAAACGAUGUGGGAAGGCUCAGACAGCCAGGAUGUUGGCUUAGAAGCAGCCAUCAUUUAAAGAAAGCGUAAUAGCUCACUGGUCGAGUCGGCCUGCGCGGAAGAUGUAACGGGGCUAAGUAGUAAACCGAAGCUGCGGCAAUGUGCUUUUGCACAUUGGGUAGGGGAGCGUUCUGUAAGCGGUUGAAGGUGUGUGGUAACGCAUGCUGGACGUAUCAGAAGUGCGAAUGCUGACAUGAGUAACGAUAAAGGGGGUGAAAAACCUCCUCGCCGGAAGACCAAGGGUUCCUGUCCAACGUUAAUCGGGGCAGGGUAAGUCGACCCCUAAGGCGAGGCCGAAAGGCGUAGUCGAUGGGAAACGGGUUAAUAUUCCCGUACUUCUUACAAUUGCGAUGGGGGGACGGAGAAGGCUAGGUGGGCCUGGCGACGGUUGUCCAGGUUCAAGUGCGUAGGCUUAAGAGUUAGGUAAAUCCGGCUCUUUUUAAGGCUGAGACACGACGUCGAGCACCUACGGGUGUGAAGUCAUUGAUGCCAUGCUUCCAGGAAAAGCCUCUAAGCUUCAGAUUGUAAGGAAUCGUACCCCAAACCGACACAGGUGGUCGGGUAGAGAAUACCAAGGCGCUUGAGAGAACUCGGGUGAAGGAACUAGGCAAAAUGGUACCGUAACUUCGGGAGAAGGUAC